AUUGAACGCUGGCGGCAGGCCUAACACAUGCAAGUCGAGCGGUAACACAGGGAGCUUGCUCCCGGGUGACGAGCGGCGGACGGGUGAGUAAUGUCUGGGAAACUGCCUGAUGGAGGGGGAUAACUACUGGAAACGGUAGCUAAUACCGCAUAACGUCGCAAGACCAAAGAGGGGGACCUUCGGGCCUCUUGCCAUCAGAUGUGCCCAGAUGGGAUUAGCUAGUAGGUGGGGUAAUGGCUCACCUAGGCGACGAUCCCUAGCUGGUCUGAGAGGAUGACCAGCCACACUGGAACUGAGACACGGUCCAAACUCCUACGGGAGGCAGCAGUGGGGAAUAUUGCACAAUGGGCGCAAGCCUGAUGCAGCCAUGCCGCGUGUAUGAAGAAGGCCUUCGGGUUGUAAAGUACUUUCAGCGGGGAGGAAGGUGUUGAGGUUAAUAACCUCAGCAAUUGACGUUACCCGCAGAAGAAGCACCGGCUAACUCCGUGCCAGCCGCCGCCGUAA
rnacentral:rRNA from 1 species